GCUCAGCCGCGGGGCCAGGGACAGCCGGCCAGAACCAUAGCCGACGCGAUGCGGGUCCCGCGGCAGCCGCGCUCGCGUCCAGGCGCCGGGCCCGGGCGAGCCUCGAGCCCGGACCUGACCCCGCUGUGACCGGCGCAGAGACACGGGGCACAAUUUGAAAUGAGCUUCACGAAGUUGUCGUUGAGCGCGAUGCCAGCCUUAGCAUCGAAGAUGGACGAGUGGGUAUCGCUAACAAAGUCCGUGGACACGACCUGAGCGUCAGAAUUUCAAAGAUAUAUGGAGCGCAGAGCUAGGACCUCCAGGAGCUCAGGCUUCUGGGCACAUUACCCAUUCAUUCAUCUACAGUCUUCGAUGGAGCCCUUCUGCGUGGGGAUAGGGUACAAGGAAGACAUGCGGGAGCUUUGCAGGUGGGGGACUGGCCGAAGGAUACAGACGGCAAACACCCUGAUGCCGCACCAAUAGACAUUUUCUGGCAACACUGCACUUGGAAUGGUUCAGCCAGGAGGCCCUCCCUGAGGGGAGGUGGUGAGUCAGGCGCUGGACGACUAGGAGAAUCUGGCCAACUCCAGCCCUCAGCAGGGUGGAAGGAGCUGCAGCACAGAGCCCUGGGGGUUUGGCCUUGAGCAGCAGGGUGAUGUGAUCUGAUUUUUCUAAGAGGUCCUGGUGAGGGUGGACCUUCAGGAGCUAAAGCAGGGAGACAGCAUCAAGCAGGGAUGGCACCAGGAGCAAAGGGUUGGUGCUAUCCAUUCCUCACAGGGAAGGUAUCCGGCCAUGGCCUACCCUGAGCAGCCUUGAACAGUGGGAGUUCUUGUCUUGUUCGCUGAGCAUGAAUUGAGCACCUGCUGUGUGCCACGCCCUAGGAGGACAGCUGGAGCUACAGAAGUGAAGAGUCCCCAGGUCCCCGCUUUCUUGGAGUGCACAUGCCAGCACAGCCAACAGUGAUUAUGAAAUGACAUUUCAGGUAAGGAAAGGGCCACCAAAAAGACAUCUCUCUGAGGUGAGAAGUUCAAGUAGAGACUUGGAGGAGGUGAGGGCAGACUACGUGGCCACCUGGGGGAAAAGCUUUCCAGGCCAAAGGGGCAGCAGGUGCAGACCCCAAAGACCGCAAGGCAGGGAGUCUGACCUUCCCAGCUCUGCAGUUCCUGUCUUGAUACAUUGCAAGCAGUUCCUUGGCAAGUGGAAAAUCACUCUCCCUCCCCAGGGGGCUCCUCCCAGGGACCCCACUCCUCAGCCCCUACCUCAUCCUCAGUGUAGGCAAGGAUGCCGGCCAUGGGCCCCUUGGCUGCUUCUUUUAUGGCCUCCUUAAUGGCCGAGUACUGGGUAGGCUGGGCCAGGCGGCAGGUGAGAUCCACAACAGACACGUCUGGGGUUGGCACUCGGAACGCCAUCCCCGUCAGCUUCCUGGAGAAUUCCACAUCAGGGGUGGUGCUCAGAAGCCAGGGACUUCAUCAUCCCACCUUGUCUCUGCUUUCCCCUCAGUAGACACCUCAAGGAUUGGGGACUGGUUCAGUCUUCCUGGUUGUACCCCCCACCCUGGUUGCAGAUCCAUGCCCUCAUACCCUUUGAGGUCUGGGAUGAUUUUGCCCACAGCCUUGGCAGCCCCUGUGGAGGCAGGGAUGAUGUUCUGGUGGGCACCCCGUCCAUCUCUCCAGGCCUUCUUCGAUGGCCCAUCCACCGUCUUCUGGGUGGCAGUGUAGGAAUGGACUGUGGUCUUGGAGAAGAAGAGGGCCGAGGUGAGGCCUUCCUGCUCCCAAGCUCCUGUGUUUGUUUUGCCCAGGCCCACAGUGGUGACCCAGGUGGGGGCUGGCAGGGCCACCACCACUGGUCACAGGAAGGACACAUGCAGGCAGGGUCCAGCCUUGUCUGCAAAUUGCCCAGAGUUUUAAAAGAUUUCACUGCUGGUGGCCUUCUCUCCAAACCAGUCUCCCAGGUUGCUCCACACAACCAAGCAAGUUUGGCAAGAAGAGGUAGUUUCCCAGCCACCCCUCCCACCCCAACCCCUCUCUUCAACUCACCAUCAGCCCUUCCAGAAUCCCAAAUCGCUCAUGGAUGACCUUGGCGAGGGGGGCCAGGCAGUUGGUGGUGCAGGAGGCGUUGCUGAAAUGGCCCAGGUGUGCAAGGGCACCGCAAGGUGAGCCGCAGAGCCACGCCUCCACCCUUACCUGUCUUUCAGGGGUUCACGCAGGCUUGGGGUUGUGAAAAGUCAGGAUAGGGAUGAGGAGAGGGGAUGCCUUCAAGAGGGAAGGAGGCACCAGAGCUGCAGCUGGGGGAGGCUCCCCAAGCACGUUCUCUGGAAGUGCAGUUCUAACGUGGUUUUAGGGGAAUGUCAUCAAGACAGCUGUUCAGACUUUGGGAAGCAGAGGUGGACUGAUGUGAAGAGGGCACCAGGGGUUGAGUGGGAGUGGGGAGGGGGACAGAUUCCUCCCUGCCCCAGGCUGGCUUGUCCUCCAGGCACCACCCACACACUUCAGAAUGUUGCUGCUCUUUACCUGACAAUUUUCAUGGUGCCAGGGUUGUAGUCCUUUUCAUUCACCCCCAUGACAAACAUGGGGGCAUCCGGAGAAGGUGCACAGAUGACCACACGCUGGGCACCUGCUUCGAGGUGGGGCUAGGGAAGGAGCACAGGUGUCAUGAGGUACUCCAAGUGUCACACCUCCCUGACCCCCGCCAAAGCCAACCCCGGGCACCUUUCCCCAGCUUACUGAAGUUUCCUCUAAGGACAGGUACACGCCCGUGGCCUCCACCACGAAGGGGCUCCCGACAGAUUCCAGGGGAUGUCUUUGGGCUGCUUGCUGCGGAGGGGCGGCAGCACCGUCAGCCACUCUCCCCCCUGCAUGGCCUUGCCUUCACCACACAUACUUAGCUUCCUACAAUGGGUUCGACCCUGCUGGUCUUGCCUCUCAUGGCUGACCCCCCUGGUGGGCCCCUUCUCUUUCCUCAGUUGUACCUGCUGUGCCUGGGUACAAGCUGCCACUGCCCCAGCCCCAGGGCACCAUCAUGUCUAUUCCCAGCCAGGCCCUAUGCUGCCCAGAAUGCAGAGCCGGGGAGGGUGAGGCUGGCAACUUCUCAGCCAUCCCAGCCCGUCUUGUCUGUACUACUUAGCUCCUGCGACAGGGAUCCUGCUGCCAGAGGCCAAGCAAGACCCUGAAGACAGACACCACAUCCAGAGAGCAGCUCCCAGGGGGCCGAUCUAGAGGCACCGCUAAGGCCACUAGUGGUUUAUGUUGGAAAAGUAAAGGAGAUUUUCUGUUUCCCAUUUUCCCUGGAUGUUUUGUCAAACAUUUGUGUUUGAGACAUACUAAACAUCUAGUAUUGCUGUUUUCUA